rnacentral:rRNA from 1 species
GGGAUUGCCUCAGUAACGGCGAGUGAAGCGGCAACAGCUCAAAUUUGAAAUCUGGCUCCUUCGGGGCCCGAGUUGUAAUUUGUAGAGAGUGCUUCGGGGGAGACUGCGGUCUAAGUCCAUUGGAACAUGGCGUCCUAGAGGGUGAGAAUCCCGUAUGUGACCGUGGCUCGAACCCAUGUGAAGCCUCUUCGACGAGUCGAGUUGUUUGGGAAUGCAGCUCAAAAUGGGUGGUAAAUUUCAUCUAAAGCUAAAUACUGGCUGGAGACCGAUAGCGCACAAGUAGAGUGAUCGAAAGAUGAAAAGCACUUUGGAAAGAGAGUUAAAAAGUACGUGAAAUUGUUGAAAGGGAAGCGCUGGCAACCAGACCUGCCCGUAGGUGAUCAGCCGCUGUUCUCAGCGGUGCACUCGCUCUGCGAUCAGGCCAGCAUCGGUUCCGGCGGUCGGAUAAAGGCCUUGGGAAUGUACCUUCCCUUCGGGGGAGUCUUAUAGCCCUCGGUGCAAUGCGGCCAGCCGGGACCGAGGACCGCGCUUCGGCUAGGAUGCUGGCGUAAUGGUUGUCAGCGACCCGUCUUGAAACACGGACCAAGGAGUCUAACAUCUAUGCGAGUGUUUGGGUGUUAAACCCAUGCGCGGAAUGAAAGUGAACGGAGGUGAGAACCCUUAAGGGCGCAUCAUCGACCGAUCCAGAUGUCUUCGGAUGGAUUUGAGUAUGAGCAUAGCUGUUGGGACCCGAAAGAUGGUGAACUAUGCCUGAAUAGGGUGAAGCCAGAGGAAACUCUGGUGGAGGCUCGCAGCGGUUCUGACGUGCAAAUCGAUCGUCAAAUUUGGGUAUAGGGGCGAAAGACUAAUCGAACCA